rnacentral:lncRNA from 1 species
CUUUCAAAUUAUUUACAAUUAAGUGAAUGUUAUGUAAAAUAAACAUACAUUUCAUUUCAGCAAAUUGUUAAGUAUGUGUUUUUGCAUUUAAAGUAGGACAAUGCUACUCUUUUCCUAAACAGGAAGUGGAUUUAGAAAUGCUGGAUUCAGCGGGAAGUCUUUCAGCCUCAUCGCAGUCUCUAAACACCCCACUUUAUCGCUCUUCGUCAUCAUUGGCAUCAUCAGGAACUUCUGGGGCUAGACCAAAAAAUGAGACCUCUGCUGUACUUUCUGAGAAAGACAGAGAAGGUAAGUUCACAUGACUUCAUGUUUUUUAUCAUAACCUACAUUAAGUGAUAUAUGCAAUGGCAGAGCGAUAAAUAUAAAAAAUAUAUAUAUUAAAGAAGAAUAAAUAAAUUAUCCAAUGUGACGAUAUCUCAUAUGGCUAUUUAUACAUAUCAUAUUUAGUUGAUGUUUUCGAUACUGGAUUCUAACCAUUUUAUCAGAGUGAAAAAUCAUAUAACCUAUAAAGAGACCAGAAAAUGAAAAACUUUUGUAAAUCGUAGUGAAAUUAUGCAUACAACUUUACUUUCCAAAAUAAGUAUGUAAACUGGUGGCACUGGAUCUGUCUUAAACACUAGCAGAUGUUCAGUCAGUCGAAGAGCUGCCUGAUAUCAGAACAGAGAGCUAUAGAUGUGGCUGGAAAUUGAAGAUUAUUACUAUAGUGAUGUAUAUCUAGAACAAACUUCUUCAUUCCCUUAUGGAUACAUGGCCAUUUGCUGGCUGAAAGAGAUGCAUUGUUGGGGCACAGCAAAGCAUUUACCCUGAUGUUGGUCUCACCCUUAGGCUAAAGACAAACGUUGCAUGCAAGGCUAUUAAGAAAUAGCUGUUGGCCAUUCGCUGCUACUCAUGUGGUCUUUUGAUGUAUGCUGACUUCUAUAUAUCUGCUGUGUUGUACCAUUGGCCUUUUUGUCAUUAGUUGUUUAAUUUUUGCUAACUGACAGUUGUUUCUCAGUUGCAUCACUGCUGCUACGCUCUUCACACAACAUGACAUAGUGUAAUGUUAAAACAUUCGAUUGCCAUGUAAACUUUAAAUCAGCGCAAAAUUGAUAAUGAUAAAGUUGAUAAAGUUGAUAAAAAUUUAUAAAGUUUCUUGAGCAGCAAAUCAGCAUAUUAGAAUGGUUUCUGAAGGAUCAUGUGGCGACAGUUGUUUCUCGAGUUGCAUCACUGCUGCUACGCUCUUCACACAACAUGACAUA